ACAUCCAGAGAACUUAGCAGAGAUGCUUUGGUGCCUUCGGGAACUCUGAGACAGGUGCUGCAUGGCUGUCGUCAGCUCGUGUUGUGAAAUGUUGGGUUAAGUCCCGCAACGAGCGCAACCCUUUAUCCUUUGUUGCCAGCGGUUAGGCCGGGAACUCAAAGGAGACUGCCAGUGGUAAACUGGAGGAAGGUGGGGAUGACGUCAAGUCGUCAUGGCCCUUACGAGUAGGGCUACACACGUGCUACAAUGGCGCAUACAAAGAGAAGCGACCUCGCGAGAGCAAGCGGACCUCAUAAAGUGCGUCGUAGUCCGGAUUGGAGUCUGCAACUCGACUCCAUGAAGUCGGAAUCGCUAGUAAUCGUGGAUCAGAAUGCCACGGUGAAUACGUUCCCGGGCCUUGUACACACCGCCCGUCACACCAUGGGAGUGGGUUGCAAAAGAAGUAGGUAGCUUAACCUUCGGGAGGGCGCUUACCACUUUGUGAUUCAUGACUGGGGUGAAGUCGUAACAAGGUAAGCGUAGUGCU
rnacentral:rRNA from 1 species